rnacentral:rRNA from 1 species
UACGUAGGGUGCAAGCGUUGUCCGGAAUUAUUGGGCGUAAAGAGCUCGUAGGCGGUCUGUCGCGUCGGCUGUGAAAACCCGGGGCUCAACCCCGGGCCUGCAGUCGAUACGGGCAGACUAGAGUGCGGUAGGGGAGACUGGAAUUCCUGGUGUAGCGGUGGAAUGCGCAGAUAUCAGGAGGAACACCAAUGGCGAAGGCAGAUCUCUGGGCCGUAACUGACGCUGAGGAGCGAAAGCGUGGGGAGCGAACAGG